CUCUUCUUCUUUCCUCUCUUUUUUGCCAUUCUUCUAGCCUAAAAUAAAGGUGUUAGUACCAGUUGGCACAAACUUUGCUUUUCACUUGAAAAAUAGUAGGAGUUUUGAUCUUCAAGUGCGAACUUUAUCAUUAAUUGUGACAAAAGGCAUCAUUAGAGAAAUUAUGUACCUGGGUUACCUGUAUCCUAAAGAACAUAUUCUCCUUCAUUUUGUGUGUGCGCACGCACACACAAUUUUAGAUACUCAAGAUGUCACAACAAUCAGUUAGGACCACUAUGAAGUUCAAAUAAGCUAAUUUCACAUGAUGAUCAAGAUUUCAGAUAUAAUUUCUUUUCAUUUCUGUGAUAAGCAACUCUACUGUUCAUUCAAUAUCAUAGAAUUGAAAAGCAGGUGACCAUCUAAAGACAUGCUUCCAUGUCAACAAGUUAAUGCAGCAUACGAAUCAAUAAGUUCCAGUCAAUCAAGUCUCGGAGACCUCGAUGGAGAUCGAAGACAAUAAAGUCAUGUAGUCAAUGAAAAUUAAAGAUCCUACCUAGUUAAAGAGCCUUUCAACUAUUA
rnacentral:misc_RNA from 1 species